AUGAAAAAGGAUCUUGUCCGUCAAACAGGGCUUCACGACAUCCUUCAGCUGAAGUUAACUAAAGUUAACAGACAGUAUGGCGCAUGGCUUCUGAGCAAGAUUGAUGUUGAUUCAUGUGCCAUCGUAGCUGAUCUUCAUAAAGUGAUCCCCUUCUCUGCGAGGGACGUUAACUCAGUCUUGGGUGUACCAUGCAGCGGGAGAACCAUUGAGACGUGUAACCAAGAUGAGGUAGAACGGAAUAAGAGGAUUCUUUGUGAUAUUUUUGAGGUUCCACACUUUUCACAGGUUACUGUUAAGUUUUUGGAGGCCAUUCUUAAUAAACAAUAUUCAUAUCCGAUGAGCUUAAAGGACCAACGAUCGUUCAAGGCGGCAUUUGUCCUUUAUGUCAUGACAAAGUUCUUGGCUCCGCAAUCACUAGCAAACUACAUUUCCACAAGGUAUAUCAGCGUAGUAGCUGAUAUUGACAAUAUCUCGUCAUACAACUGGGCACAAUUCAUCGUCGACGACCUCAUGAAUUCUGCCAGCUUGAUGCCCAAACGAUUUCAUAAUUCUUCUCAAGUAUCAAUUAACGGGUGUAUACUAUUCCUCCAGACAAUCUACCUGGACCAUAUUGCGCCAUCAAAUAACGAUGUCAACUAUGAAACCAGUCCUAGGAUUGCGGCAUUCGAUGAUGACCUCGUCACCCGCAUUAUCAUGAAUGACAUGAAGUGCAAACACAACAUUGGGUUCCCUUUCCCUCAGUUUGGGAAGCUCCAGCUCACGAAACCACAAAGUAUUUACUCCCGUGCACCAAAAGAGGGCUCUCAAGAAAAUCAUCAUUCGACUCCGAGCGCAACCAUUAACCAACCAUGUGUGUCCAACAUUUCAGAAUACUUGCAGACGCGUUUCAAGUCAACUAAAUUACGGUCGAUAUAUGGAGAAGAGGCUUCUUCUUCCAUUAAGGAUGCAAUCUCCAGUGCUGAAGGACAAUUUUCAUCUAUUUUGCAAGAUACUUCAGAUUUUGAAAACUUUUUAGAUAAUCCAGUAGCCAUUGAAGCAACUCAAAAACUUAACAAAAUUCUGGUUACUACUGUUUUCAAUUCGAUAAAAAUUGCAGUAAGGGCCACCCUUUGUAAUGUUCUUUCGGACAACCACAAUAGGUCCGGCGGUCUGGGCAGUCACGGUGCACUUCCUUCGAACCCCACAUCAGGCCUUACCCCAACAUCCUUCAGCAAGGAUACUGCUUCACCAUGCCAACAUACAAGUACGCCUGACAGGGAUCAUCCACAACUGGCUUCUCAAGGCAACAUUGGUUCAUGUAGCACAACAAGUAAUAGGUACAACAAUCUAGCAUCCCGCACUCCACCAACAACUCAUAAUGCUUCUGCCUCACCAAGCAAGCAGAAAUCGUCAAUCUCCCCAGCAUCCGCUGCUCGCCUGGCACAAGAGUGGACCGUCGCACUAAGUGCGGAGGAUACCAAUGGAGAUGAACAACAACGUAGAUACAUAGUAGAAAACCCACCAUCCCACCUUCUAAGAGAUAAAAACACCCGAAAAAUAAAUCAAAACAAGAAACUUUUGUCCCCCUUUCAGACCAAGCAAUGCUCAAUAACACGUACUGAUACGCGGGUAGCCCGCUCAACUUAUUCGUACAUUCAAGAAAUAUCAAAUGAAGCCUUGUUGGAUGAAGUAUGGCUUCAAAAUUCUUGUCCGUUCAACAUCUCCAUAAAGUUACGCACUCUCCAGCAAUCAAUUGCACGCGGUGGCUGGAUGGAUACUGACUGCUUAAAUUUUGCGAUCCGCAAAAUGUUCUUGGAUGACGUGGAUCGGUUCGAGGGAACAAACUAUUUGGGAUGGAGACACUUCAUAAACCUCGACUUUGCAAGCUAUGCCUUGGCGGGGGGUGAAUUCUGGGUUCCAGAGCACCAGCUAGGACACUUCAUUGGAACACACAUACGUUAUGACGUUUCGCAAAGCCAUCAUAUACUCAUACCACUUCAUCUAGUUAAUCACUAUGCGUUGUAUGCAUUCGACAUGGAGAACAAGAAAAUAUCGAUACUUGACUCGCUCAGUGCACUAGGCCCCUUCAACGAAUCAAGAAUAUCUAGACAUAACAAGACAUGUCACACCAUAGCAUAUCAUCUCGCCGAGUGCAUGAGAUUAGCUUUUCCUGGAUGGGAUGAGGACAUACCUAGCUGGGGUAUUGAGGUCGUAGAGAACAUACCAGAACAACAAAACUUGGAUGAUUGCGAUUUUCUUGUAUUGAACUUCGUGCGCAACUGGAAUGGCCUCCGUCUAAUUAAUUUCAUAAGCAAGGAUUCUAACGACUUAAGGUGCACUUUUCUACUGGACUUGCUGACGUUCAAGACAAAUGAAGCUUCUCUUCCAGAUUGGGUUAAACUCCAGCUCAGCCAGCUUAGGGAUUAG
rnacentral:rRNA from 1 species